CCCUUUGUAGCUCAGUUGGAUUAGAGCAUCGGACUGUAAUGUACGCAAAUCAUCCGGGGGCCCCCGGUUCGAUUCCGGGCGAAGGGA
rfam:Pseudogymnoascus pannorum VKM F-3557 contig_2531, whole genome shotgun sequence.